rnacentral:rRNA from 1 species
UACGUAGGGUGCAAGCGUUGUCCGGAAUUAUUGGGCGUAAAGAGCUCGUAGGCGGUUUGUCGCGUCUGCUGUGAAAACGCAAGGCUCAACCUUGCGCCUGCAGUGGGUACGGGCAGACUAGAGUGUGGUAGGGGAGAUUGGAAUUCCUGGUGUAGCGGUGGAAUGCGCAGAUAUCAGGGGGAACACCGAUGGCGAAGGCAGAUCUCUGGGCCGAUACUGACGCUGAGGAGCGAAAGCGUGGGGAGCGAACAGG